AUUGAACGCUGGCGGAAUGCUUUACACAUGCAAGUCGAACGGUAGAGGGGGCGAACCCCUUCGAGAGUGGCGAACGGGUGAGUAAUAUAUCGGAACGUGCCCAGUCGUGGGGAGUAACGUAGCGAAAGUUACGCUAAUACCGCAUACGAUCUAAGGAUGAAAGCGGGGGAGUCGCAAGACCUCGCGCGAUUGGAGCGGCCGAUAUCAGAUUAGGUAGUUGGUGAGGUAAAGGCUCACCAAGCCGACGAUCUGUAGCUGGUCUGAGAGGACGACCAGCCACACUGGGACUGAGACACGGCCCAGACUCCUACGGGAGGCAGCAGUGGGGAAGUUUUGGUACAAAUGGGGCGCAAGCCUGAUCCAGCAAUGCCGCGUGCAGGAUGAAGGCC
rnacentral:rRNA from 1 species